rnacentral:rRNA from 1 species
UACGGAGGGUGCAAGCGUUAUCCGGAUUUACUGGGUUUAAAGGGUGCGUAGGUGGGUAGGAAAGUCAGUGGUGAAAUCUUCGGGCUUAACCCGGAAACUGCCAUUGAUACUAUUUAUCUUGAAUACUUUGGAGGUAAGCGGAAUAUGUCAUGUAGCGGUGAAAUGCUUAGAUAUGACAUAGAACACCAAUUGCGAAGGCAGCUCACUACACAAUCAUUGACGCUGAGGCACGAAAGCGUGGGGAGCAAACAGG